rnacentral:ncRNA from 1 species
CAGACAAAGGCAAACCCGGCGAAAGCCGGGGACGCAAAGCCAAGGGCCUACCCGGGAGCACCCCCUAUCCUUCCCCGUAAGGCAGCCGGUUACCGA